CAGGCGUCCAGUGGUGAAGAGAUCGGUUACUUCGACUGUCAAUCGAGAGGUCGUGGGUUCGAAUCCCACCCGCCCGGCCA
rnacentral:tRNA from 1 species